rnacentral:rRNA from 1 species
CCUACGGGAGGCUGCAGUGCGGAAUAUUGGUCAAUGGGCGCGAGCCUGAACCAGCCAAGUAGCGUGAAGGAUGACUGCCCUACGGGUUGUAAACUUCUUUUAUCAAGGAGUAAAGUGAGGCACGUGUGCCUUUUUGUAUGUACUUUCUGAAUAAGGAUCGGCUAACACCGUGCACGCAGCCGCGGUAAUACGGAGGAUCCGGACGUUAUCCGGAUUUAUUGGGUUUAAAGGGAGCGUAGAUGGGUUGUUAAGUCAGUUGUGAAAGUUUGCGGCUCAACCGUAAAAUUGCAAUUGAUACUGGAAUCCUGGAGUACAGUUGAGGUAGGCGGAAUUCGUGGUGUAGCGGUGAAAUGCUUAGAUAUCACGAAGAACUCCGAUUGCGAAGGCAGCCUACUAAACUGCCACUGACAUUGAUGCUCGAAAGUGUGGGUAUCAAACAGGAUUAGAUACCCUAGUAGUC